AAAUACAAUUCAAAUAGAGCGACGAAACCCUUUCUACAUCCAUAAUAAAUCUCUGCUAAAAGCAGAGUCGAUUGUACAAAUUACAUGUACAAACCACUGUA